GGCAGUGUGGUGCAGUGGUUUGGGUAUUGGACUAUGACUCUGAAGAUCAGGGUUUGAAUGCCUGCUCAACCA